ensembl:lncRNA
UUUUACUAUAGAUAGCUUGAGCUGACAAUUGAUUAAUAACUUGGUGAUAAAAACCUACAGCUGGUAUUCCAUAGAUAAGAUGUGGUGUGUGUGAUCCGAGAUAGAAAGAGCCUGGAGGAGUAGAACAAUCCCUUAUUGUGUCUAAUCAUUCUUGCAUCUGGGAAAUGUCCCUGGCUGCAGAUGAACACAGGAUGAACCCAGGAUGGAUUGUGGUGCCCCCCAAUCUGCAUGGGGGGGUGGAACCAGCCAUGACUAGGCAUGUUUGGGUCUCCUAUAGAAGAUCUCUGUUUUUGAUUAAAGGUUAAGCUCUCGGUAACACACACUUCGGAGUGUGUGGUCGACCAUCUUCAUUAUUGCAAUAAUUAAUCAUUAUUAAAUAAAGAUGAUCGUUUGACGAAAUGACAAAGUCUCUCUCAGUAUACAUUGAUUUCCAUGACAUAUCAUAAUCAUUAGGAUAGUUUAGCAAUCGGCAGUAGAAGACGUCCUAAAUGCUCCCCAGCCUUCAGAUGUGAGCUCAACAUCUAACGUGGACUUGAUGUGCGUUUUUAGGAAAUGGAUUAGAAGGUAAACUUGUUCCAAACGUUUAGCUCAGUUGUAUGCUGCUUUGUGAUCUAUUAACAGCAGGGGUUGCAUUAAAUAGGCACAGCAUUUUUUAUGAUACAUUUGGUGAUCAAUUCAUUCGCACAAAACAUAUAAACAAAAGCAUUCACUGUGGAAGUUGAUACACGUAGGCCCUUCAUAUAUAGGCUAUGUGCAGCAUUUUGGGCAAUUUAUUGAAUCCGUUGUUUUCUUGGUCAAACCGCAAGUAACACCUGACAAACUCAAACAUUUCUCUCAUGUCGAUUCACAUGGUACUAAUAUUAUCAGAGGACUUUGGAGUUUGCAAAAAAACAGUAGGUUAUUCUGGUUGGUCAAUGUCCAGAUUUCAGUUUCAUUUAACCCAUCUGAACAGCAGGCUACAGUUCCCUUGACAUGCCAUUGUAACGGUUGUUUGUGGUGGAAGAAGAGGAGGACCAAUGCGCAGCGUGGUAAGUGUCCAUAUUGAUAAUUUAUUUUCAUGAACACAAAAACAAAAUAACCAGAACGAACGAAACGAAACAGUUCUGUCUGGUGCAGAUACAAACACUCAACAGAAAACAAUCACCCACACCACACAGGUGGGAAAAGGCUGCCUAAGUAUGAUUCUCAAUCAGAGACAACUAACGACACCUGCCUCUGAUUGAGAACCAUACCAGGCCAAACACAAAAACACCACAUAGAAAAAGGAACAUAGACAACCCACCCAACUCACGCACGGACAAAGACAAAACUAAAACAAAGACAUAACAAAAGAACCAAGGUCAGAACGUGACAGCCAUAGCCUAUUUGAAGUCCCAUCUUGUGACUGUCGAAUUUGGAUAGCGCCUCACAAUCCUCACUCACACAUAACAUAGCCGACACUAAUAUCAUCUAUUACCACUUCACCAAAUCUUUCCCAAACAUUACUUUUCUGGCCCUCACUUCUCUUUAUUUUCAACUCUCCUUUUGCAGCUUUUGGCUUAUUGAAUUAUACUUCGACAAUGUCCUUUCCCCUCAGUGGAUUGACUUUUUCUGCCUGUUCCCAAAAGGCUUAUUUGGCGAUAGGCUGUGACGGCUAUUUGGCAUGCAUACACUUAAGCACUAAAGUUGAAGCUUAUGCAGUUAUAUGAGAUAGUGUAAAACAAUUCAAGAAAACCCUCAAUGUAGCCUAUAUAAAUUGCAUAAUAAUUGAUGGAUUUUUUAAGGUAUUGCUUCUCUUUAUUCAACCCACCUGCCCUUCAGCCACACAAUAUUUAAUUAACCUAAACCCGUCCGCCCCGCAGAUAUAACCGCAGGGACUGUGGGUUCUAGGUCAACCCGCGCAUCACUUCCGGGGACCCCAGCCCAAAGUCUUUGUGGGAGAUGAGGCCUUUCCUCUCCGGAGAAACCUCAUGCGGCCCUUCCCUGGAGCAAUCAUCCCCAGGAGAAACACGGUCUUCAACUACCGCCUCGCCCGAACCAGGCUGACUGGAGUGCACCUCCGCCAUUCUUGCGUCCCACUGGCAGAUGUUCCGGUUAUAUCAGCUGUGUCAGUGAACCCCUCCCACUUCUGAACUGCCUGAAACAGAUGCACAUCUUGAUCAGAGGUAUUGUCUGUGAGAGAGGAUGCCAAUCCCUAGUCCCGUCAUCGUCACCUCAUCCGCUCAAAGACAACCCAACUGGGGGCCCAAGGCUGGUUAGGAGACACCGGUAGAGAUACUAUUAUGUAACUGUGAUGACCUGAGAGAAUACGUAGUUUAGUUGCACUGUGAUUCAUGAAUCAUAAGCUUUCUUCCCUGCUCCUCUGUUCUGCUCUGUUCUGCUCUUUCCCUUUCUGUCUUUGACCCCCUCUCACACCUCUCCCCCACCUCCUACUUCUUCCCUGCUCCUCUGUUCUCAUCUUUCCCUUUCUGUCUUUGACCCCCUCUCACACCUCUCCCCC